rnacentral:misc_RNA from 1 species
GAGACAAAGUCUACUUUUACACUUUAAACUUUUGAUUAAGCCAGUGACGAUAUGUCUUUUUGUAGUUAUUUGCAAGUGACAAACAGUGGUUGAGGUGUUUUUCUCCUUGAUAAAGAGUAGGAAUGUGAACUAGGCUUGUAUGAUGCUGUUUUUAUUUUUACCUCUGCCCUUUGACAUUGUAAUAUAUGUACAUGUAGUUCAAUAAGCAAAUAUGAUUUUAACAUAUACAUAUAGUUUUUAUAGGUAAAUAUACCUGAAAUAAGAUUUCCAUAUGAUUUUGAUAUAAACAUAAUGCAAAUGAGACACUUUAUUUUAAGCAAAUUACACGUGUAUAUGAUUAAGAAAAAGUUGAAUUUGGUCUUGUUUUCAUGGGUACUACUAUUUGUUAACUAAGAAACCGUCAUUCCGUAUACUUUUAUUGAAAGAUUCUCCGGAACUACCUCCAAAAUUAUCAGUUUGUUUUAUAAUGCGCAUGAAGUAGAUAUUAGAAAUUUAUUUGUUACUAAAAAUAGCAGAAUUUACAGAGUCUAUUUAUGAAGUGUGUUUUUUUUUCCUUCAGAUUAAUCUACCUCAUUCUCUAGUUGAAUGCUUUGUUCUAUAUCAUUUCAGAAAUAAAUACAGCUCAUCUUUAUAGUG